AAUUUUCCUCUUCUCUCCCCCCUGAAGAAAACAAAUUUGAAAAACAGUUGGCAUUUUAACAAUUGAAGCGCCUGUUGGGAUUCUGUAGCAUCAUAAAAACAAGUUGCUGCAACCAAUGGGCCGAACUUAAAUAUCAAAGGGACCACACACUUUCUUUUUAACUAAAUCGCUUCGUUUUGAAGCAAAAGUUUCUUUGAAAUGACUCAAUGUCGGUAAUGUCCUUGGGGGUUAAGUUCCUUCAGAAUGUUCUCGCUUGAAGUUUCUUAACACUGUAAGGUCUCUAGUGGUGUCAAAAUGCACCCUGUUAUCCCAAGCGCAAUCGUUGCAGAGAUCAUUGCCUUUUUUGGUCAAAGCUGAGCUCAGUUGAUGAGCAGGGGUGUGAAAAGCGUGCAAUAAGGAGUAUCCCAGAAUGCACUGGCAACGUGUCAAGCCAACGUGCUUUUCGAUUUUCCCCUCAUUCACGAAGACCCGAUGUCGCGGACGGUCAGAGUCAAGGAAGUCAUCUAUGUUCAAGCAUCCAGAAAGCCACCAUUCCAGGCAAGGACGAUAAGUUUGGAUCUAAAAAAGAGAACAGAAUUCUUGGCAUCGUCACAAAUUUGUCCCGCAAAACAUGGUUUACGAAAGGCUAGAGAUAAAUUGAAAUGGUGAGUUAUGACUUCAAGAAUAUAUUUGCUUUACCGUUUUUACAUAUUGAUUCUCUUCCUUGGAAGAGAUUUUGACAUAUUUGAAGUCUUAUAAACUCGUGAAGUCUGCUGGUGAAAUUUUAACGUUGGCUGAACUUUGCUUAGGAGGGAUCCUGACACUCCAUUCAAAAUCUCCGAAGUUUGAUUUAGAAACACAGAAUUAUGAUUAGAAACUAAAGCGCAGGGUGUAAAAAAAUUAGAAAUACUUUCUAUCCAGUUUAUCGAGGUAUUUCCUUGCAAAGUUAUCGAGUUUUUCGAUUUUUUUCAAAUAGUUCAGUUUAAGUUUCUUUAGAACGUAGCCCCUUUAGUGAAAUAUUCUGAAAUUGGGACAUUUUCUUUCCCGUUUAUCGAGGUGUUUCCUUUUCAAAAUUAUCGAGUUUUUCGACCUUUUUUCAAACAGUCCAUUUUAAGUUUCUUUAGAACGUAGCCCCUUUGGUGAAAUAUUCUGAAAUUGGAACAUUUUCUUUCCCGUUUAUCGAGGUGUUUCCUUUUCAAAAUUAACGAGUUUUUCGAUUUUUCUCUCUCGAAUAUUUCAUUUUAAAUUUUCUUAGAACGUAGCCCCUUUGAUGAAAUACUCUGAAAUUGGAACAUUUUCUUUCCCGUUUAUCGAGAAUGACCUUGUCGCAAAUUCAAGCGAUUACCCAACAUCUGAAAGAUUUGAAGGGAAAAUCGAAAGCGGGACAGACGAUAAGCAUUUUCAAGAAGCGCAGAGCCUGGGAAAUUUACGCACCGAAAGACCAGUACGAGCACUAAUGAGAGACUGGCAAGUUUGUGAUCAGAAGCUUUAUUUUUGGCCGAAGUAAAAUUUUAAAACUUAUCUGGAUCGCUAACAGUUCCUUGCUAUUUGAGAGUCAGAUUAAACAGGCCAUCACAAAUUGUUUCUUUGCUGUGAAUCCUCGUAUUGUUUAUAGUACGAAAAAGGCCCUUCCGUCCAUUCAAAAGGACUGCGUUCCUACCAACCAAAAAAGUUCCGCUGUUUAUGAUCAGAAGCUUUAUUUUUGGCUGAAGUAGAAUUUUAAAACAGUUCCUUGCUAUUUGAGAGUCAGAAAAAAAGUUCCGUUGUUUAUGAAUUUACGUGCCAGUUUGAUUCUGGCAACGUAGGACGCACUACCCAAAGAUUUUGGUAUAGGAUAAAACAACAUGUUCCGUCUAGUAUUAGAAACAAAACUCAUCCCCAAAGAGAACAGCCACCUCGGUCUUUCAAAUCUAAAAUUACAACUAAAACCUGCGAUUCUGCUAUCGGGCAGCUGGAAAACCCAGAUUGUGCAAAGUGUUUUUUUAAAUCUCAACUCAAUUUGUUGUAUCCAGCUCUCAAAUUAUUCAUCGAAAAGGGACAAAAGAAUUACAUAAGCUUUCUAGACGUUUAGGUACAAAAAGGAGGAGCUGGGUUUCACACUAGCGUAAAAGAAACCAACAUUUUCAGGGCGAUAUAUUCUUUUUUCAAUACUAAGACAGGUUUCCACAUAUUUGUUAUAAUUUGCUAUAUUCCUCUUUUUGUAUUAUCUAUCUAUUACUAUCUAUCUAUUUUUGGUAUGUUUUGAUAAAUUACCAAUAGUUCUGUAGUAUUUUUGUAGUAUUAGAACAUAUUUUUGCUUCCUUCAAUGAUUGUUAAAAAUAUUACAACAAAUUCCGAUGAUGUUUCUUUGUAAAAGAAUU